AGAGUUUGAUCAUGGCUCAGAACGAACGCUGGCGGCAUGCCUAACACAUGCAAGUCGGACGCUCCGGGGGCGACCCUGGGGAGUGGCGCACGGGUGAGUAGCGCGUGGGAACCUGUCCUUUUGUGGGGGAUAACCGAGGGAAACUUCGGCUAAUACCGCAUGCGCCCCUGGUCUUUGGAUCGGGGGGAAAGAUUUAUCGC
rnacentral:rRNA from 1 species